rnacentral:rRNA from 1 species
GGGGACUGAGACACGGCCCUUACUCCUACGGGAGGCAGCAGUGGGGAAUAUUGGACAAUGGACCAAAAGUCUGAUCCAGCAAUUCUGUGUGCACGAUGAAGUUUUUCGGAAUGUAAAGUGCUUUCAGUUGGGAAGAAGUCAGUGACGGUACCAACAGAAGAAGCGACGGCUAAAUACGUGCCAGCAGCCGCGGUAAUACGUAUGUCGCAAGCGUUAUCCGGAUUUAUUGGGCGUAAAGCGCGUCUAGGCGGCUUAGUAAGUCUGAUGUGAAAAUGCGGGGCUCAACCCCGUAUUGCGUUGGAAACUGCUAAACUAGAGUACUGGAGAGGUAGGCGGAACUACAAGUGUAGAGGUGAAAUUCGUAGAUAUUUGUAGGAAUGCCGAUGGGGAAGCCAGCCUACUGGACAGAUACUGACGCUAAAGCGCGAAAGCGUGGGUAGCAAACAGGAUUAGAUACCCUGGUAGUCCACGCCGUAAACGAUGAUUACUAGGUGUUGGGGGUCGAACCUCAGCGCCCAAGCUAACGCGAUAAGUAAUCCGCCUGGGGA